rnacentral:rRNA from 1 species
UACGUAGGGGGCUAGCGUUGUCCGGAAUCAUUGGGCGUAAAGCGCGUGUAGGCGGCCCGGUAAGUCCGCUGUGAAAGUCCAGGGCUCAACCCUGGAAUGCCGGUGGAUACUGUCGAGCUAGAGUCCGGAAGAGGCGAGUGGAAUUCCUGGUGUAGCGGUGAAAUGCGCAGAUAUCAGGAGGAACACCAAUGGCGAAGGCAGCUCGCUGGGACGGUACUGACGCUGAGACGCGAAAGCGUGGGGAGCAAACAGG